rnacentral:rRNA from 1 species
UACGUAGGGUGCAAGCGUUGCCCGGAUUUAUUGGGCGUAAAGGGCGCGUAGGCGGCUCGGCACGUCCGUUGUGAAAUCGCCCGGCUCAACUGGGCGGGGUCAGCGGAUACGGUCGAGCUCGAGCAAGCUAGGGGGCAAUGGAAUUCCCGGUGUAGUGGUGGAAUGCGCAGAUAUCAGGAGGAACACCAAUAGCGAAGGCAGCUCGCUGGGACGUUACUGACACUGAGGCGCGAAAGCGUGGGGAGCGAACAGG